rnacentral:rRNA from 1 species
AUCAAACUUGGAGAUAGCUCGUACUCCCCGAAAUGCAUUUAGGUGCAGCCUCGGGUAAGGUACUGAUGAGAGGUAGAGCGACUGAUUGGAUGCGAGGGCUUCACCGCCUAUCAAGUCCGGCCAAACUCCGAAUGCUCAUCAGCAACAUCCCGGGAGUGAGGGCAUGGGUGCUAAGGUCCAUGUCCGAAAGGAGAAGAAUCCAGAUCACCGGCUAAGGUCCCCAAAUAGCAGCUAAGUUGCAUUAACGAAGUCCGACCGCAGCGACAGCCAGGAUGUUGGCUUGGAAGCAGCCAUUCAUUUAAAGAGUGCGUAACAGCUCACUGGUCGAGGGGUCGGGCAUGGAUAAUAAUCGGGCAUAAGCUGUUUACCGAAGCCGUGAGAUCGAAAAGAUCGGUAGGGGAGCAUUCCAUUAUCAGCGUUGAAGAUGAGAGGUGACUCUUGUUGGAGCGGAUGGAAAAGCAAAUGCAGGUAUAAGUAACGAUAAAGGGGGUGAAAAACCUCCUCGCCGAAAGACCAAGGGUUCCUGAUCAACGCUAAUCGGAUCAGGGUUAGUCGGGACCUAAGGCUAAGCCGAAGGGCGAUGCCGAUGGAAGAACCGGUUAAUAUUCCGGUACUGCUUUGUGGAGUGAUGUGGAGACGGAGAAGUGACAGCUCAGCCAUCUGACGGAAUAGGUGGUUAAAGGGUGUAAACGUUGAUUGUUGUAGGCAAAUCCGCAACAAGAGUUGAACCUAACAGUAUGCAGCGUACUUGUACAAUGUAAUAAGAGCGUAAUCAGGCUCCCAAGAAAACCCGCUAAACAUAUCUUCAAAGCACCCGUACUCGAAACGGACACACGUGGUCGGGUUGAAAAUACUAAGGCGCUCGAGUGAUUCACGGUUAAGGAACUAGGCAAAAUGGUCCUGUAACUUCGGGAUAAAGGACGCCAAUAGCAAUAUUGGUCGCAGAGAAUAGGCCCAGGCGACUGUUUAACAAAAACACAUGACUAUGCGAAAUCGAAAGAUGAUGUAUAUGGUCUGACACCUGCCCGGUGCUGGAAGGUUAAGAGGAGAUGUCAUCCUGCAAGGGAGAAGCAUUGAAUUGAAGCCCCAGUAAACGGCGGCCGUAACUAUAACGGUCCUAAGGUAGCGAAAUUCCUUGUCGGGUAAGUUCCGACCUGCACGAAUGGUGUAACGAUCUGGGCACUGUCUCAGCCACGAGCUCGGUGAAAUUGUAGUAUCGGUGAAGAUGCCGAUUACCCGCAAUGGGACGAAAAGACCCUGUGAACCUUUACUAUAACUUCGUAUUGACUUUGAGUAAGUAAUGUGUAGGAUAGGUGGGAGGCUAUGAAGCUGGCACGCUAGUGUUGGUGGAGCCGUUGUUGAAAUACCACCCUUUGCUUACUUGGAGCCUAACUUCUGAAUAAGAGUAAGAAGGACAUUGCGUGGUGGGUAGUUUGACUGGGGUGGUCGCCUCCAAAAGAGUAACGGAGGCUUUCAAAGGUACCCUCAGCACGCUUGGUAACCGUGCGUAGAGUGUAAUGGCAUAAGGGUGCUUGACUGUGAGACCAACAAGUCGAUCAGGUGCGAAAGCAGGACAUAGUGAUCCGGUGGUUCCGUAUGGAAGGGCCAUCGCUCAUAGGAUAAAAGGUACUCCGGGGAUAACAGGCUAGUCUCCCCCAAGAGCUCACAUCGACGGGGAGGUUCGGCACCUCGAUGUCGGCUCGUCACAUCCUGGGGCUGGAGAAGGUCCCAAGGGUU